UACAGAGGUGGCAAGCGUUGUUCGGAAUUACUGGGCGUAAAGGGCGAGUAGGUGGCCAUCUAAGUCAGACGUGAAAUCCCCCGGCUUAACCUGGGAACUGCGUCUGAUACUGGACGGCUUGAGUAUGGGAGAGGAAUGUAGAAUUCCAGGUGUAGCGGUGAAAUGCGUAGAUAUCUGGAGGAACACCGGUGGCGAAGGCGGGUCUCUGGGCCGAUACUGACGCUGAGGAGCGAAAGCGUGGGGAGCGAACAGG
rnacentral:rRNA from 1 species